GAAAAAGUUUUUAAAAGUUGCCAAUAAAUUAAUAUUGUGAUGUGAAAUUAUUUUUCAGAUUGAAAGGGCUCUGGGGUGUUUUGCCAGGCAGAAGCGUGGAGAGCAGCCCGCCUUGCCACCUCUGCUACUGCCAUGGUGCGGAAUCUGCUGCUGGGCACCUUCGACUUGGAGAGUCGGAGCUGCAACCUGAAUGGUGAAAAGCCAACCAGAGGGGAUGGGGAGCAGCUGGUCGCGUUUAUUAGGCAUUGGAGACUGGAUAAGAUGCUACAUUGAAGAAGUGGCCGGCAGCCACCCGAGAGCAGACAGGCAGAUCUAUCAAUUCAAAGCUCACGAAGCUGAG